GCGGUCCCACCCACUGCGCCCAGAACGGAGCCCGCGUUUCCGCAGAGCUGGAGCUCCCGGCUCGGGGUCUCUUCCCUCCGCCUUCACGGAACUGCCCCGGAGCCCGCGGCGAGGGCGGCCUCACUGACGCUGCCGGCUCUGGAGGGGCCCCGGAGGCCGAAGCCGCGACAGUCGUGCGGACGGCGGGCCGGUUGUUUCAACAAGUAACUUAAAGACCAAAUGGAAAAAAAGGAGGUUUGUGCCUGAGAUCAUGUUGAUGUGAAACCAGGGAUGGCCACCUUGUCCCAGCUGGGAACAAGAGAACCAUGGAGGCCCAUUCUAAAUGGUGCUGCAGAAGAGGACCACUGCUGUUGAUCUGAAGGAAGGAAGCUCCAAUAUUCUUCUGCCAGCUCUCAAGGAACUGUCCAGCACUUCAAACCUUCUGAAAUUGCUUAGGCUUCUUCAACGGUGUGCUUUAUUCCUGGGAAAACAGCAAUCAUAUGGACACCUGGGUACACUGGACAAAACCUGGCCGUGAGGAUGGCCCUGGGGUCCCAAUCAUCCAGACGUACUUCAAGGAGUCCCCACUGUCGGGAAGGCUUGCUUCCUGAGGAAUAAGGAAAAAGCUGUGAAUCAACACCAGUCUAGGCAAAAGUUAUAAAGCCAAGCAUUGAACUACAAAGUCUGGUCCCUGCAGUUUUUGGUUUUGUGAUAUUUUCUGCAUUUUAAACAUCUCC